GAUGAACGCUGGCGGCGUGCCUAACACAUGCAAGUCGAGCGAACAGAUCAGGAGUUUUCUCCCCUGACGUUAGCGGCGGACGGGAGAGUAACACGUGGAUAACCUACCUAUAAGACUGGGAUAACUUCGGGAAACCGGAGCUAAUACCGGAUAAUAUAUUGAACUGCAUGGGUCAAUAGUUAAAUUAGGUUUUUCUUUGAGUAAUAGACUGACACGCGCCGCAUUAGUUAGUUGGUAAGGUAACGGCUUACCAAGGCGACGAUGCGUAGCCGACCUGAGAGGGUGAUCGGCCACACGGGAACUGAGGCAGGGUCCAGACUCCUACGGGAGGCAGCAGUAGAGAAUCUUCCGCGAUGGGCGAAAGCCUGACGGUGCAACGCCGCGUGAGUGAUGAAGGUCUUCGGAUCGUAGAACUCUGUUAUUAGGGGGGAACAAAUGUGUAAGUAACUAUGCACGUCUUGACGGUACCUGAUCAAAAAGCCACGGCUAACUACGUG
rnacentral:rRNA from 1 species